UGAACGCUGGCGGCAUGCCUUACACAUGAAGCCAAGCGGUAACGCGGGGCAACCUGGCGACGAGUGGCGAACGGGUGAGUAAUAUAUCGGAACGUGCCCAAUAGUGGGGGAUAGCCCGGCGAAAGCCGGAUUAAUACCGCAUGAGACCUGAGGGUGAAAGCGGGGGCUUCGCAAGAACCUCGCGCUAAUGGAGCGGCCGAUAUCAUAUUAGGUAGUUGGUGGGGUAAAAGCCUACCAAGCCGACGAUCUGUAGCUGGUCUGAGAGGACGACCAGCCACACUGGGACUGAGACACGGCCCAGACUCCUACGGGAGGCAGCAGUGGGGAAUUUUGGACAAUGGGCGCAAGCCUGAUCCAGCCAUGCCGCGUGCGGGAAGAAGGCCUUCGGGUUGUAAACCGCUUUUGUCAGGGAUGAAAUCCUUUGAGUUAAUACCUCGAAUGGAUGACGGUACCUGAAGAAUAAGCACCGGCUAACUACGUGCCACCAGCCGCGGUAAUACGUAGGGUGCGAGCGUUAA
rnacentral:rRNA from 1 species